ensembl:lncRNA
UAGUAGAAUAAGGCUAUGGGUUAGUAUAAAACAAGGGAAUAAAGUUAAAGUUAAAAAUGUAAAAUAUUUAAAAAGUUUAAAAAAAAAUUAAGCAUAAAGUGCACUAGCGAACAAGUAACAAAGUGACGAGUGACGACAAAGUGAUAAAUGACAGUUAAAGACAGUCUGUGAUCCACUUGCAGGUGGAGUCGGGCACGUGCAGCUGGGAGAGUUUAUCCUGCAGCAGAGACGGGAUGAUGGUGUUGAAGGCAGAGCUGAAGUCCACAAACAGGAUCCUGGCGUAGGUUCCUGGGGAGUCCAGAUGCUGGAGGAUGUAGUGGAGGGCCAUGUUGACAGCAUCGUCCACAGACCUGUUGGCUCUGUAGGCGAACUGCAGGGGGUGUUGAAGAUGUCAGUGAACACCGGAGACAGCUGGUCAGCACAAUGCUUCAGGGUGUGAGGGGAGACGGAGUCCGGACCGGCUGCCUUACGGGGAUUUUGUCUUUUAAAGAGCCGGUUAACGUCUCUCUCCAGAAUAGAGAGGGUCGUUGCUGGUGAAGGAGGGGAAGGUGAUAUAGAUGAAGAGGCGUGAGCACCUGAUGGGUUGGGGG